GACGGAGGAGGCAAGCGUUAUCCGGAAUUAUUGGGCGUAAAGCGUCCGCAGGUGGCUGUGUAAGUCUGCUGUCAAAGAGCGAAGCUCAACUUCGUAAAGGCAGUGGAAACUACACGGCUAGAGUGCGUUCGGGGCAGAGGGAAUUCCUGGUGUAGCGGUGAAAUGCGUAGAGAUCAGGAAGAACACCGGUGGCGAAGGCGCUCUGCUAGGCCGCAACUGACACUGAGGGACGAAAGCUAGGGGAGCGAAUGGG
rnacentral:rRNA from 1 species